AGUGAACGCUGGCGGUAGGCCUAACACAUGCAAGUCGAACGGCAGCACAGUAAGAGCUUGCUCUUACGGGUGGCGAGUGGCGGACGGGUGAGGAAUACAUCGGAAUCUACUUUUUCGUGGGGGAUAACGUAGGGAAACUUACGAUACUACCGCAUACGACCUACGGGUGAAAGCAGGGGAUCUUCGGACCUUGCGCGAUUGAAUGAGCCGAUGUCGGAUUAGCUAGUUGGCGGGGUAAAGGCCCACCAAGGCGACGAUCCGUAGCUGGUCUGAGAGGAUGAUCAGCCACACUGGAACUGAGACACGGUCCAGACUCCUACGGGAGGCAGCAGUGGGGAAUAUUGGACAAUGGGCGCAAGCCUGAUCCAGCCAUACCGCGUGGGUGAAGAAGGCCUUCGGGUUGUAAAGCCCUUUUGUUGGGAAAGAAAAGCAGCAUGUUAAUACCCCGCUGUUCUGACGGUACCCAAAGAAUAAGCAUCGGCUAACUUCGUG
rnacentral:rRNA from 1 species